rnacentral:rRNA from 1 species
UACGAAGGGGGGCUAGCGUUGCUCGGAAUUACUGGGCGUAAAGGGAGCGUAGGCGGGUUAUCAAGUUGGAGGUGAAAGCCCAGGGCUCAACCUUGGAAUUGCCUUCAAAACUGAUAACCUAGAGGAUGAUAGAGGUCAGUGGAACUGCGAGUGUAGAGGUGAAAUUCGUAGAUAUUCGCAAGAACACCCGUGGCGAAGGCGGCUCUCUGGGACGGUACUGACGCUGAGACGCGAAAGCGUGGGGAGCGAACAGG